UACGUAGGGUGCGAGCGUUAAUCGGAAUUACUGGGCGUAAAGCGUGCGCAGGCGGUUAUGCAAGACAGAUGUGAAAUCCCCGGGCUCAACCUGGGAACUGCAUUUGUGACUGCAUGGCUGGAGUGCGGAAGGGGCAACUGGAAUUCUUGGUGUAGCGGUGAAAUGCGUAGAUAUCAAGAGGAACACCUGCGGCGAAGGCGGGUUGCUGGGCCGACACUGACGCUGAGGCGCGAAAGCUAGGGGAGCGAACGGG
rnacentral:rRNA from 1 species